CCUUUCAAAGGCGGCCACGUCGACAGUGUCGCGUCGGUAACACACGGAACGAGCGCGCCAUCGACGACCCGGCAACCGCGCAUCACUGCCGCCGCGACUGCCGCAGUGCCACCGCCGCCUCUGCCGCCGAUGCGAGAUCUCCCUCUCGGUACACCGCAACGAAAACACUAUACUACCGCCGCCCUCGGCUCGGACGAGACGACCCGCUGAACUUAAGCAUAUCGCUAAGCGGAGGAAAAGAAACCAACCGGGAUUCCCUUAGUAACGGCGAGUGAACCGGGAGAAGCCCAACGCCGAAUCCCGUCGCAAGUAAAAGGCUUCGGGACGUGUGGCGCAUGGGUCGAAGACAGCCGUUCGUUUUCGUCUCGCGUAGUUCGGAGUUCCCUCGAUCGGGGCCGCCCGCGGCGGGUGCCAGGCCCAUUCGGUGCGGACGGCGAGCGACGGUCUUCGAUCCGAGAGUCGGGUUGCUUGGGAACGCAGCCCAAAUCGGGUGGUAAGCUCCAUCCAAGGCUAAAUACCGGGACGAGUCCGAUAGUCGACAAGUACCGUGAGGGAAAGUUGAAAAGAACUUUGGAGAGAGAGUUCAAGAGAACGUGAAACCGCCCAGGGGUAAACGGGUGGGACCGCUCACCGCGAUCGCGGGGGGACUCAGUCCGGUGCUGCCUAGGCUCGAGCCCAAACUCGAUGUGUACCUCAACAGGCUGUCGCGCUAGUCGUCGUCGUGUCCGCGGGGACUCGUUCUCCGCGGGCCAGCUUUUGUGCCCGCGUCGCCGACGAAGGAGACGGGCCGCGUAGACAGCGGGAAGGGAAACGUGGUGACGACCGCGGCGGCGACGGCGGCUGCGACGGGAGACGCGUGGGGUUCGCUCCGCGCCCUUUCGCUCGCUGCCGCCGCCCGCCUGCCGCAUCCGUCGCCGCCGCUUCUUCUUUCCUCCCGCUCCCUGUGCGCGCGGCGCCCCACUGCACCCGUCGCCUUCUCACCGCUCGGCAUCAAUGUCGCGGGCGCUUCGGCGCGACUUGCGCACGGCCGGCACCGGACGCACUUCCCCUCCGGUCCGUCGUCGCGACCCGUUCCCGGCGUGCAGGUCGACGCGCGGGUUUUUCCGUAGGCGGCAGGCGCUUUUGAAAACCCCUCCGCGACUCCGGUCGCGGGGGGGCCACCGGCCGUCGGGCCCGCGAACCGUAACUGCCCCCUUCUGCCGGGGACGGAGGAAAUCUUACGCGAUCCGUUAUACGUGGCGAGCCGGUUCGUCUUUAAUCCCGUCGGACGUCUCGCGCGGGCGCACCUCGUGUCGCUCCCUCGGCGCCCCACCGUCUCGGGCGUGCGCGAGAGAAGAGUCGGGAGAGAACUGGCGCGGCCUCGCCGUCACGCACCUCGCCGAUGUUCGGGAAUCAGCGGUGUCGGGGGUGACCCCGCCCGCGCCCGUUCCGUCCGGUGAGGUCGCUCGGCGACGCCCCUUUCGGCCGCCCGCCACCUCGGGUCAGCGACGUGCAUCGGCAACCCACCCGACCCGUCUUGAAACACGGACCGAGGAGUCCUGGCCGUUCGCGAGUCGUAGGGGCCCCCUCUGACUAACCCCGAAGGCGUAGCGAAAGCGAGAGAGCGUGUCGGAGGGCGUCGACCGGGAGAGGUGUCGUGGCGAAGUCGUCGGGGGGGAAGCUGCGAGUCUCGGUUUCGGCCGUCUCUUGUUUGUUUUUUCCCCCGCCUCCGAGCCGUGCCCGAUCCCGCCGGCGCGGUGUCUCGUCUUCCGUGCGCCGUCGCCGCAGGCCCGCACUUUUCUUCUCACGAGGAGAGGGAAGGCCGGCGGCUGGCGUGCGGUCGUAUUUGGUUCCCUCCUGCCCGAGACGGGCACCGGUCUAGGGAAUUGCGGGGCAUCAGCUUCCAUCCUCCUUCCGCCCAUCGGUGAGAUCCCGCGGCUUGAACUAGUCCUAUUUUGUCGUCGAGUUUAGGCACUGCGCGCGGGCGCAUCACCCCCGGGUCGGUUCCUUCUCCGAGUACGACUCGGCCGACUCUGGCGUAGCGAGCGACCAGGGACCCGAAAGAUGGCGAUCCACGCCCGGUCGGGAUGAAGCCAGAGGAAACUCUGGUGGAAGUCCGAAGCGCCUCUGACGUGCAAAUCGAUCGUCGGAACCGGGUGUAGGGGCGAAAGACCAAUCGAGCCGUCUAGUAGCUGGUUCCCUCCGAAGUUUCCCUCAGGAUAGCUGGCGCUCGAUCGUCGCAAUUCCAUCCGGUAAAGCGAACGAUUGGAGGCCCCGGGGCCGUUCACGGCCUCGACCUACUCUCGAACUCGGAACGGGUGGAACGGGCCGACUCUCCCGAACAACGGAGCCGGGCCAAAUUUUCGCGUCGCGCCCAUCGCGCGGGCGGCGUCGAAAACGAAUGCGAGUGCCAAGUGGGCCACUUUUGGUAAGCAGAACUGGCGCUGUGGGAUGAACCAAACGUCCGGCUAAGGUGCCUAACGCGACGCCCAUGAGAUCCCCGAAAGGGUGUCGGUCGAUA
rnacentral:rRNA from 1 species